UACGGAGGGUGCAAGCAUUAAUCGGAUUUAUUGGGCGUAAAGGGCGCGUAGGCGGGGAUGAAAGUCAGAUGUGAAAUCCCGGGGCUCAACCUCGGAACUACAUUUGAAACUCCAUCUCUAGAGGAUAGGCGGGGAAAACGGAAUUCCACAAGUAGCGGUGAAAUGCGUAGAUAUGUGGAAGAACACCGGUGGCGAAGGCGGUUUUCUAGCUUAGACCUGACGCUGAGGCGCGAAAGCAAGGGGAUCAAACAGG
rnacentral:rRNA from 1 species